rnacentral:rRNA from 1 species
GACGAACGCUGGCGGCGCGCCUAACACAUGCAAGUCGAACGGAGCUGCGAGAAGCUUGCUUUUCUUAGCUUAGUGGCGAACGGGUGAGUAACGCGUGAGUAACCUGCCCUGGAGUGGGGGACAACAGUUGGAAACGACUGCUAAUACCGCAUAAGCCCACGAUCCGGCAUCGGAUUGAGGGAAAAGGAUUUAUUCGCUUCAGGAUGGACUCGCGUCCAAUUAGCUAGUUGGUGAGGUAACGGCCCACCAAGGCGACGAUUGGUAGCCGGACUGAGAGGUUGAACGGCCACAUUGGGACUGAGACACGGCCCAGACUCCUACGGGAGGCAGCAGUGGGGGAUAUUGCACAAUGGGGGAAACCCUGAUGCAGCGACGCCGCGUGGAGGAAGAAGGUUUUCGGAUUGUAAACUCCUGUCGGUAGGGACGAUAAUGACGGUACCUAACAAGAAAGCACCGGCGAACUACGU